rnacentral:rRNA from 1 species
ACCACUCCGAGCCGGAAAGUUCGUCAAACUCGGUCAUUUAGAGGAAGUAAAAGUCGUAACAAGGUUUCCGUAGGUGAACCUGCGGAAGGAUCAUUACCUAGAGUUGUAGGCUUUGCCUGCUAUCUCUUACCCAUGUCUUUUAAGUACCUUCGUUUCCUCGGCGGGUUCGCCCGCCGAUUGGACAAUUUAAACCAUUUGCAGUUGCAAUCAGCGUCUGAAAAAACUUAAUAGUUACAACUUUCAACAACGGAUCUCUUGGUUCUGGCAUCGAUGAAGAACGCAGCGAAAUGCGAUAAGUAGUGUGAAUUGCAGAAUUCAGUGAAUCAUCGAAUCUUUGAACGCACAUUGCGCCCCUUGGUAUUCCAUGGGGCAUGCCUGUUCGAGCGUCAUUUGUACCUUCAAGCUCUGCUUGGUGUUGGGUGUUUGUCUCGCCUCUGCGUGUAGACUCGCCUCAAAACAAUUGGCAGCCGGCGUAUUGAUUUCGGAGCGCAGUACAUCUCGCGCUUUGCACUCAUAACGACGACGUCCAAAAGUACAUUUUUACACUCUUGACCUCGGAUCAGGUAGGGAUACCCGCUGAACUUAAGCAUAUCAAUAAGCGGAGGAAAAGAAACCAACAGGGAUUGCCCUAGUAACGGCGAGUGAAGCGGCAACAGCUCAAAUUUGAAAUCUGGCGUCUUCGGCGUCCGAGUUGUAAUUUGCAGAGGGCGCUUUGGCAUUGGCAGCGGUCCAAGUUCCUAGAACAUUUAUCACAGACCCGAGAAGAGUCGACGUGUCGGGAACGCACUC